UCCGCCAUGACGGAACACGAGGCUUCCCCCUCUCGGUGCUCCGAGUUUCCACCCUGGGUCCUCCUCGACACGAUAGUGCAAGUCCGCCGCUGCGAGAACAAGACCACCGCCCAUGGCACGAACAGUGCUGGCCGACCCAUCAACAUGUCCUUCGAGGUCGUCGAUCCUCCAGGCCUCUCCCACUGCGUCAUCGACUGCCCCGACCUGACGGAGGGCGAACUCACGGCCUACGUCAGCGGCGCGGAUGGCGCCUUCCUCCUCAUGCGCGUGCUCUUCCCCGAGCGCGGCGGCAGACAGGCGUUCGAGGACGUCUUCGUCUACAAGGCCGGCCCAGGAACGCCGUCGCUCUGCCGUCUACCGCAACCCUAUCCGGUUCGCCUUGGUUCCAAGUAUGUUGGCGUCUUGUCCUGUGGCGUCGCCGGCGAGCACUGCUUGGUUGUCGUUCCGGAACGGCAAUUGGGGGCCAAUAAUCGGGUGAGGUAUGAUCUCCAAGUCUUCUCGACCAAGACGAAGUCAUGGAGUCCCAAGGACCCCGGGUGUCGUGUGGCGCGGAUUUGUGUUACGAGUUUGCUCCCACCAAAGUGUUCUCCGUCUCAGGAGACUCGCUGGCCUGGGUUGAUCUCCAGUUCGGUAUUCUGCUGUGAAAAAAGGUUGACGAGGACCCUGAGAUGCUGCUGAUCCAACUCCCCACACUGCUGGCCGCCAACAAGGAGAAAUAUGGUCAUUGUUAUGGUGAUUGUUGCAGUCCUGCUUUGGAUCCGAUUCGGGAUGUUACCUUCAGAAACAGUCGGUUCAGGUUCAUCGAGAUGGAAUUUCUGGAGUUUGCUGACACCGACACCUUUCAGCCACGAUGGAGGGCCACCGUGUUUGAGAGGACGGUCAGUUCUAACUGGGAGCGGUUCUGCACUGUCAACUCUGAUGAGAUUUUGCCUACAUGAUUGCCAAGCAGAAGCCAAGAGAUCCAAACGGUUGGGUGCUUGCUGUCAACACCAAAAGCAAAAAACUGGAACAAGUGAGGUCCUUCUCUGCUGAAAGGUUGUAUUUCCAUCGCUUUUACCUGCAAUGUGCCUUCUCCAAGCACCUCAGCAAGGCUCCAGGGGUAUUGAUGGAGAGUACCAGCAAGGGAGACCAGCUACCAUUCGUUUUCUGCGUUACCUCUAUACUGGUGGUUCAACACCUGUUCAGGAAAUUUGAUAAGAGCUUGACAUGUUAUAGUGAGGUCUGGCCACUACUUCAUGGUCAUUUUGCAUCGAUUAUGAAUAUUCAUAUUCAACAAGUUGUCGAAUAUGCUGACCGCAAUGGUCAAGGUGAAGCUCCCUAUAAUGCUGUGGCCAUUUACAAGCAAGCUACAAAAGAGAUUGACAUCUAUUGGGAAAAUGAAUGUGCUGAAGCAGUUGGAAACAAAAUUGAUGCUGCGGUUGGAGCUAUAGACGAUCUAUUGCAAAUGGUACCAUCAGAAGUGCUGGAUUUAGGGAGGCAAAUGAUUGCAGUUGCAAUUGGUUCUGAAUCUUUUGAUGAAGUCUUGUCCAUUGCUGAUAAGUUUGAAUCCCAAGUACUUACAGCUUGAUGCAACACCUGCUGGAGAUGGAAUGUUGCAGCUUUAAGAAGGCCUAUCAGUAAUGUUACAUAAAGCGGAACAAAGUGGCAGAAUUGAAGGCAUUAAGAUCUGUCAGCAAGCACCAAGAAUAAACCAUCUAUUUUUUGCUGAUGAUUCCUUAAUAUUGAUGAGAGCAAGGGAGAAUGACGCAUAGGAACUUAAACAUAUUAUGGAAUUGUAUGAACAAGCUGCUGGUCAGAAAGUUAACAGAGAUAAAUCAUCAAUUAUGUUCAGCCCAAAUACAAGUCAGGAAAUUAGGAAUCAGAUCAAAUCUGGCCUUUCUAUUGUAUCUGAAGCAACGAGUGAACGGUAUUUAGGAUUACCAAUCUUCAUUGGGAAAAAGUAAGUCUGGAGCAGGAUUCAGGGCUGGCAGGAAAAACUUCUAUCAAAAGCUGAUUUUUGUGUGCGAUAUAUUGGUGGAGCCAGCAGGACAAAACAAAUAAAAUUCACUGGGCUGAGUUGGGAGGAAUUAACUAGAUCCAAGAAGAAUGGUGUUCUAGGCUUUCAGGAUCUGCAUCUUUUCAAUUUAGCAAUGCUAAGUAGGCAAGCAUGGAGAUUGCUUACCAUCCCUUACACUCUCUGUGGCCAAGUCCUAAAGGCAAGAUAUUUUCCAAACUCGGAUAUUCUCCAUUGUGUUCCUCGGGAUGGGAUUUCAUAUUCCUUGAGAAGCAUUUGGAGAGGGGCUGAUCUUUUGAAAGGAGUUAUAUGGAGAAUUGAGAAUGGAAAGAAAGUGAAGAUAUGGCAAGACCAAUGGCUGCCCAAAAGCUCAACAAGAAAACCCAUCGACAAGAAAACCAUCAAGGUCCUGUGCGCUGACUAGAGUCAGUGAGCUUAUAGACCCAAUAAGAAUGGGAUGAACAACUAAUACGUGAUAUAUUUUAGCCACAAGAUGCUGAUAGAUAUUACGAAUUCUUCCAAUUAAUGAACAUAUGGAGGAUUGGCCUCCCUGGCAUUUUGAUGCAAAAGGGCGAUUUUCAGUGAAAUCAGCUUAUAAGCUUGUUGUGGCGAGAAAAGAUGCUCAAACAGCACAGAAUGCUUCUAGUUCUGUAUGUGCAAUUCGAUCUGAGAGUGAUCAAGAUUUGGCAACUCAGUCCCUAAUAAAGUUAAAAUGUUUGUAUGGCGUUGUGCACAUAACAGCCUUCCUGUUAGAAGGAAUGUGGCCAGACGUGGGGUACAAUUAGAUACUAUCUAUCCUGUUUGCAAAAGACUGGAUGAGGACUCUGGCCGUAUCUUUUUUAAAUGUAAAUUAGCAAGAAUAUAUUGGCGUCUUCUGAACAUGGAAAAUAUCAGGUCUGUAUUGGUGUGCUGCCAAUCUGGAUUAGAGGUACUUGCUAAGAUCUGGGAGCUACAGAAGAAUAUGCAGUUAAAGGUAUUUGUUUUCCUAUGGAGAUGUUGGUUAGCAAGAAAUAAGGCUAAUGAUGGUGAGAAGAUGCUAACAGCAGCUGAGGUGCCAAGGUGGCUCCGUGGCUGGUGGGGGAGCCUGCUGCAAUCCUUCUGCGAUAGCAGAGCUGGCCCUCACGCGCGCUAGGAAUAGACAUCCCCGAGGCUAUAGGCAUUGGUUUGAAGGAUCGUGGUAAAGAGGAGCGGACUAGCCAAAAGGGUGGCAAAAAAUAAGAGGAAGAGGCAGAAUUCGAAGCCGAAGCCAGAUUCCCAGAAACGAUACCAUCAGCUUGCGGGAGGCAACAACGGUGUCCUGACUUGUAUAAGAUGCUUAAUAUGGGACGCAUAUGGCUUAUAAAGAUGAAAUACUUGAAAAGGUUCAUAAGCUUGUUAAUGAUUAUCUGUUUCUGAAAACCUUAUGAUUAUAUUCUUGUAAAACUUGCUAUACUGAUAUGUGUCAUGUUUUCAAUUCGAAAAGUAAGGAUCAAGUUAUAUUGACUUU